GGGAUUUUGGUUUGACAUGAUCUCACGUCUGUUGGUCAUGGUUGAUGUCAUGAAGUGAUUAUACAAUUUAUUCUGAUGAUAAAAUUUUCAUUUUUGGUAUUUGUGUGGCUCUCAAAUGCUGUGCAUGAACUUGUGGUUGUGAUCAGUUACUUAAUCAUUUCACCAUAAACAUCUCUUAAGAACUCAUCAUUGCAUUGUGAUUGUUCUUUUUUUUUUUAGGGCUGCAGAGAAGAUGAAACCCAAGGUUGGAAUCUUAGGUCCCUGAGAAAGAUGUUUCCAAAGACAAGCAUUGAAUUAUCUUAGGCAGGAAUUAGGAAGCUGCUUAUGCAAACCAGUCUAAACUUGCUCUAUGCUGUUACCAUUUUUGAAGAUCUUGAAUAAAACUAAUGUCGUUGAGAGGUUCCCAAUAUAUGACUGUUGUAGAAUAUGCACCAUCUCAACGUGUUCCAAAACUGUGGGCUAAAAAAGAUGGCCGUGAAGGGACCAUAUUCAAAGGUGAUAAUAUUUUAUCAAGAAAAGAAUAAUACAGAAAUAAAGAAUGAAGCUGGCGAUGAGACAUCACCACUUGGGAUAAGGACUCCUCUUCUCAAGAAGGUUCAAAAACCCCAAAAGGUAGAUUGACAAACAAUUUACAAGAUUUUGCUAAAUCGAUGAGAAUUCUUGUUUCAAAUUCCUUUUUUGAGCCUUGAUGAUUGGUGAAACAUGAUUUGUAAAGCUGAGUAGAGGUAGUAACAUGAUUUGUUAGCUAUGUUGGUAGUAACAAGGUGACAGCCUACUGUUGAGUCUGUCAUUUGUCAUUUCAUUGCUGUAAGUAUCCUUUUUUUCAUCCUCUUUAUAUUUAUUUGCAUAAAGUUUCAUUGAGAAAUGCUGUAAUGAACCUAUGAUAUGCAUUUCUAAAAUGCAUGGUGAUUGAUUGGGUCUUUUCAUCUAGUGGCCUGCCACUUGGAUGGGCAAUAUCCCACAUAUUGUAACAGUCAGACAAUUCUGUUCAACUCAUCAUUUCAAGUUUGCCUUCUGAAUAAAGACAAUAUGAUCAUUCUCAAAGGUAUUGUUUUUAACAAGCAAGCAUUGAUUUUAUCAGUUGAUAUGCCAA